UACGAAAGGUGCGAGCGUUAAUCGGAAUUACUGGGCGUAAAGCGCGCGUAGGCGGCUAUUUAAGUCGGAUGUGAAAUCCCCGGGCUCAACCUGGGAAUUGCAUCCGAUACUGGGUGGCUAGAGUGCGGUAGAGGGAGGUGGAAUUCCAGGUGUAGCGGUGAAAUGCGUAGAGAUCUGGAGGAACACCAGUGGCGAAGGCGGCCUCCUGGACUGACACUGACGCUGAGGUGCGAAAGCGUGGGGAUCAAACAGG
rnacentral:misc_RNA from 1 species